rnacentral:rRNA from 1 species
CACGUAGGGCGCGAAGCGUUGUCCGGAAUUAUUGGUGCGUAAAGAGCUCGUAGGCGGUCUGUUACGUCUGCUGUGAAACCCGGGGCUUAACCCUGGGCUUGCAGUGGAUACGGGCAGACGUAGAGGCAGGAGGGGAGAAUGGAAUUCCCGGUGUAGCGGUGAAAUGCGCAGAUAUCGGGAGGAACGACCGGUGGCGAAGGCG